CCCACAGGCCGUAAACCCAAGGUUUCCAGGGGAAGGUUCGUCCGCCCUGGGUUAGUCGGGACCUAAGCUGAGGCCGAAAGGCGUAGGUGAUGGACAACAGGUUGAUAUUCCUGUACUACCGAUAACCGGUUGAGAGAAGGGAUGACACAGUAGGAUAAGCUAAGCACACUGUUGGUUAUGUGUGCCCAAGCAUUGAGGCAGUCAAAGUAGGCAAAUCCGCUUUGAUAAUGCUGGGAUGGGAUGGGGAGCGAAAUUUAGUAGCGAAGUAGCUGAUUUCACACUGUCAAGAAAAGUCUCUAUCGAGG
rnacentral:rRNA from 1 species